GAUGCCAGUUCUCUGGAAUGAUGGGUCCCUGCCCCCGGGGAAAGGAAAUACCUUGGAGCAGGUGACGGUGGAGGGGCUGGUGGGCUGCGAGCACAGCUGUCAUCUCGUCGUGGUCGGAAGGAUGGAUGUACUCGUAGAUACUGUUGCCCAAACAUGUGGCUGUUACCAAGCAGUGCUCUGAACCGCCUCCCAGGUUCAGAGACAGUCACAAGCAGGAGGAACUGGGAAGUGAAGGAUGAAAAGGUGUCACAGAGUGUGUUGCGAACCACAUGUCCUGUCGGGAGGCUCACUGCUCCGGAGCAGAGCGGAGACGACACGUUCUCCCGGAGAGGGGGCAGCUCGGACGGUGCCACCUCACGCAGCAGGACAGAGGCGGCCAGGCACUUUAAUGGACAAGUUCUCCUGGGACCCACGGUCUCAAAUUAGCCUCGAGGCCAUCAGCUCCUGGACCACACGGCGGUGAAGAGGCGAAGUAAUUCACCCCGUUCCCCUGGGCCAGUUCUGCCAAUUCCUCAAGACGCAGGAGUUGCCAUUUUAUGCAGAACAAAUCCUGUUUCUGGCCCGCUAAGGAGCCGUGUCUCAGACGGCUUGCGCAGCUCUGUUUUCUGCAUUAUUCCUGGAAUGUUUCUUCCCAGUAUUAUGUCCAGUCUCCGUUACCCAGAGCCACCCUGCUGGACACUCACCUCCCAAACCCGGCACUUGGCUAAUGACCCAAAAGGGGGUGUGCCUACGACAAACGUUAUUACGUAAUUUUACUAGAAACAGUAAGGAAU